rnacentral:rRNA from 1 species
AGAGCGAACGCUGGCGGCAGGCCUAACACAUGCAAGUCGAACGGACCCUUCGGGGUUAGUGGCGGACGGGUGAGUAACACGUGGGAACGUGCCUUUAGGUUCGGAAUAGCUCCUGGAAACGGGUGGUAAUGCCGAAUGUGCCCUUCGGGGGAAAGAUUUAUCGCCUUUAGAGCGGCCCGCGUCUGAUUAGCUUGUUGGUGAGGUAAUGGCUCACCAAGGCUACGAUCAGUAGCUGGUCUGAGAGGAUGACCAGCCACAUUGGGACUGAGACACGGCCCAAACUCCUACGGGAGCAGCAGUGGGGAAUCUUGCGCAAUGGGCGAAAGCCUGACGCAGCCAUGCCGCGUGUAUGAUGGAAGGUCUUAGGAUUAGUAAAAUACUUUCACCGGUGAAGAUAAUGACUGUAGCGGAAGAAGAACGCCCGGCUAACUCGUGCCAGCACGCCGC